UCAGGACCCCAAGACCUGACCGAUAUCCCCUCCACCAGCAGCCGACUACCUAUCGCCAAGAGUUCAAAGGGAAUCUCUAAGGGGUUCCUUGCUCACUCACGUCUCUAUCACCCCGAGAGACAUCGAAGUGAAGCCCGACCUGUCGACAAUGCGCCGACCAGCCAAUACGCAACCAUAGACCGGAGCUUGCUGGCGUCUUCAGUUGACAGUCCACCUCUUUCGGGCGAAGACUCCUCAAGCACGGAAGAAGAAGGCCAGGGGGAAGAGGAUGAGGAAGAGAAGACUCCGCCCCUGCCACCACGUGGUAACCCCAUUCUGCUUCCCCCACCACAUCUCUAACUCCGACUAUGUUGACGUGUAACUUGAGACGUGUGUUUAUCGUAAAAUGCACGUACUCCUAUUGUUGUGGCGCAAGGUUUCUCAAUGCACAUAUAAGCCAUCCUUGAUAAAGCACCCAAAAAUGCCCUGUUUUUACAAAUAAAAAGGAAUAAGAACCUUCUUUGACAAAUAACAUCUUCCUAUUGUAAAAAUGUUAGCUGGUUCCAUUUAUAAAACUUUGCAGAAUGUUUCAUUCUGUUGAAAUUUUAAUUUCUAACAAAAAAUAUGAGUGUAUUUCUACUUAUCAUGAAUGCAAUUUAAACGUAUUAAUCUAACACUACUUAAAAGAGAGAAUAUGACUGAGGGGGUAAGUGUUGAAGAUAGACACCCUUGCAGAACUAAAACAUAGUGCUAUUAGUGUUAAUUAUAAAUUGUUAUAAUUAGAGACUCAAGAGUAUGAAUUUGACAAAAACAAACAAUAAUUAUGCAGUGAAAUUAACAUGAACAAAAUAAAUAAUAAUUACACAUCUUUUUAUGUAAAUAGAAAGCCAAAGCUGCUGAGCGACUAUUGAAUUAAAGCAUGACACUUAGGCAAGCUCAGUAUGCAUCGGCUCGAAAAUGCAAGGAAUGCAGUACGAAUUGAAAUGGCUGACAGAGCAAGAAAGGAAAAAAACAUAGUUGGUGGGUACAUUGGUCACAUUGCUGUUCACUACAUAUAUCGUUGUUUAGUAAGUGUAUUUUCCAAUGCUAAUGCUGUAAAUAUCAAAUGCUGCUGUACAUUGCUGGUACAUUUAUAUACUGGUAUUUAUGUACCAUAAUGCUAUUGGUGCAUCAUACAUUCUGAAUUCUGUUAAUUACCAACGACACAGUAGACUGAUCCUUCAUCGCUGCAGCUAACAAUCGCUCAUGGUAUAGUCCACACGUAAUGCGUUAAUUAAACAUGAUGCACAUUGUUGAUAAUGUAGUGUUGAUACUGUUACUCACUCUCAUAAUCUUAUUGUCAAUUAGUGAUGUUGUACACUGGGAAUGUUGCUGGGCAUUGUCGAUGUCGAUGCACAUUGUUGAUAAUGUACUGUUGAUACUGUUACUCACUCUCAUAAUCUUAUUGUCAAUUAGUGAUGUUGUACACUGGGAACGUUGCUGGGCAUUGUCGAUGUACGUUGUUGAUAAUGUACUGUUGAUACUGUUACUCACUCUCAUUGCAGAUAAUCUUAUUGUCAAAUACUAACUAAUAUUCUCCACUUUGGUAAUGCUGUGUCUGAAAUGGUGAUUCGUGUGUUUUUGAUAGGACAAUUAACUGCAUACCAAUCAGGUAAACGCAGUAGAAGAAACUGUGCGUAACGAUAAAUAUGCUCCAAUUACAAAUAACUUUUAAUAAUGAAAUUAGUUUUAAGUAAUGGGCAAAAGAUUGCAUAAGAUCUGGAAGCUGUUUUAUUUAUUGAAAUAAUGGACUAUUUCGUAUUACAAGAGCAGAAACACCAUGAAUUUUCCAGGUUUACAUCGAUAAUCCUGUUUCAUGUUAAUUAAAUAAAUUUCUACGAUAAUAACUACAAGUUGUGGAGUAAAAUACUUAGAAGAAAUGAAGAAAGAAGAAAUGAAACAGAAUAACAAGCAAAGGCGGAAUAUGAUUAUUGGAAAGAAAUAAUAAAUUUACAAAAGGAAUUGGCCAGAUUAUAAUAUUACUAAUACAUUAUCAGCAGUAGGCCAAAUGACAUGAAACUUACAAUAACUUAUUUAAUUAUCAGAAUGAUAUGACAACAGCAAUGUCUGAAGCUACUUUUUGAACUACAUUUUGAACUUGGCCUUAAUUUGAGGUGGCUCCAUAGAAGAGGCCCUGGAUUUCUGAUAGUAGAUAAAUAAAUAUAUGUUCGUGCUUUUUCGAGGUGUAACUUGGCAGCUAACUUUAUGAAAAUGAAUAUCUAAUUUAUGUUAAAUAAUGAGUGUAUCCCCCUAACUAGAAAACGAUUAUCCGUUUCCAAUUUAUACAUUAAUACACCAAGGUGGUAUUUAAUUAAAUAACGCAAAGACUGACAUGGAUUUGUAUUUCCUGAACAGUAGUACAUAACGUUCUUUGGAUCCAGAGUUUAAGAGUUGUGUGUUUUUGCUGCUAUGAAACACAAUUUAGUGUCACCCACAAAUAAACUAGAGGAACGUAUACCGGAAGAGUUAGCGAUAUCUCUAAUCGUAAAUCAGAAAAAAAGUAUAAACCAAAUAUUGAGUUUUGUGGGAUGCCACAUCUGGUUUGUACUCCUGAAGAGUAGUUGUUCGGGAAUAAUACAUACUGUUUGCUAUCACUACUCCUAAUCGCAACUCCUCUGACUCCAUUUUAUUUCUAUUUUACUAAUGAGAAUAUUACGGCCUAUGAAAGUUUCUAAAAAAAUAUCCCUAUCGUGUAAAGAGAGUUGUGGAAUGUAGAAGUUAUUUUAUCAACAAGGUCAAUCAGUGCAAAUUGAGUAGAAUAGUUGGUUCUAAAGUUGUAUAUUCGAUAUGCUACAAGUUUUUUCUAGGAUUGUAGAGAAACGUAGCAAAAUAGAAACAGAGCGGUAGGUGAUGAUAAGAGAUGGGUCACCAUUUUUGCAUAUCGGGAUAACUUAAACUAUUUUCAAAACAUCUGGUACUCUAGGGAACAUUAUAUUUGGAGCUAUAUCGAUCUCAUCAUGUCAUCUACUUUUUUUAUUUGGAAGCCUUUCUAUACAGUAAUAAACCAAAGAACUUGAUGUUUUAACUCUCA
rnacentral:lncRNA from 1 species